CAGUAGCCGCGGGAAAACGUAGGUGGCAAGCGUUGUCCGGAAUUAUUGGGCGUAAAGGGCUCGCAGGCGGUUUCUUAAGUCUGAUGUGAAAGCCCCCGGCUCAGCCGGGGAGGGUCAUUGGAAACUGGGAAACUUGAGUGCAGAAGAGGAGAGUGGAAUUCCACGUGUAGCGGUGAAAUGCGUAGAGAUGUGGAGGAACACCAGUGGCGAAGGCGACUCUCUGGUCUGUAACUGACGCUGAGGAGCGAAAGCGUGGGGAGCGAACAGGAUUAGAUACCCCGGUAGUCCCUGUCUCUUAUAC
rnacentral:rRNA from 1 species